rnacentral:lncRNA from 1 species
CCCAACCACCAUCACCUCACGCACCCACCCACCGGCGUCCACCUACCUGCGUCGAUCCACCGGCGUCCAAUUCCGUGCUAAAUCCGGUGAAGAGUCCACUGGCAAAGAGUUCCGGCGCUAUUCGUCGAUUGGUUCCUGCUGAGUUCCGUUCGGUGCUCAAUUGCAUCCCUACCUCCGGUGAGUUCCAUCUGGCGUUCGUUCGGUGCUAAAUCCAACAGAUUCCCGUCGUCCCUCCUCUGCCGCCCAAAUAUUUUAGGGCUCAAUUGCCUCCCUACCCUCGUCGCCUCAUCAUCGGAGCCGCAGCCCCCACCGGGAGAGAAGACUGAACUGCUCGAAGUAUUGCUUGAAGGGUUUGAUCCAUGAGAAAACAAACUAAGCGAUUGAAUUUGUGGAUAUGUUGGAAAUUGAGGGCGUGUGCUUUUAGAAAGGGGGGGAACUUCAACUGUAGGAGAAGGGAGCCGAGAAGGAAUCAAAGCAUCUGUUGAAGGCGGUGGCGGAGUGGGGAAACCAUAGGGGUUAGGGUUGGACGGUGGGUAAUACGCGUCGCCGACGACGACGGAAGGCGGCGGGUAGUAGGAAGUUUGCGCCGGUGGAGGUGGCGAUCUGGUCUCUGGCCAUUGCUGUUAUAGUGGUGGUGGCUAGAGAGAGAGAGCAGAGGGAGGUGGAGAUGAGAGAGAAGAUGAGGAGAGAGAGAAGAUUUUUAUUUUAAUUUUUUUAAUCAAAUGUUGAAAAGUAAAUGUGUGACUUUGAUCCAGUUGGAUGAUAAAUGGACGCGAAUAUAGUUCCAGCACAACUUUAAGUAGACACGUGUAUAGAAUACCUAAAAUAUCCUUGCCGGAAAUUGGCCGGAGUAACUAAAUCGGAUCAAAUUAAUAGUUUAG